rnacentral:rRNA from 1 species
GANACACCUGGAAACAGAUGCUAAUACCGGAUAACAACAGAUGAUGCCUAUCAACUGUUUAAAAGAUGGUUCUGCUAUCACUCUUGGAUGGACCUGCGGUGCAUUAGCUAGUUGGUAGGGUAACGGCCUACCAAGGCGAUGAUGCAUAGCCGAGUUGAGAGACUGAUCGGCCACAUUGGGACUGAGACACGGCCCAAACUCCUACGGGAGGCAGCAGC